GACGAACGCUGGCGGCGUGCCUAAUACAUGCAAGUAGAACGCUGAAGGAGGAGCUUGCUUCUCUGGAUGAGUUGCGAACGGGUGAGUAACGCGUAGGUAACCUGCCUGGUAGCGGGGGAUAACUAUUGGAAACGAUAGCUAAUACCGCAUAAGAGUAGAUGUUGCAUGACAUUUGCUUAAAAGGUGCAAUUGCAUCACUACCAGAUGGACCUGCGUUGUAUUAGCUAGUUGGUGAGGUAACGGCUCACCAAGGCAACGAUACAUAGCCGACCUGAGAGGGUGAUCGGCCACACUGGGACUGAGACACGGCCCAGACUCCUACGGGAGGCAGCAGUAGGGAAUCUUCGGCAAUGGACGGAAAUCUGACCGAGCAACGCCGCGUGAGUGAAGAAGGUUUUCGGAUCGUAAAGCUCUGUUGUAAGAGAAGAACGAGUGUGAGAGUGGAAAGUUCACACUGUGACGGUAUCUUACCAGAAAGAGACGGCUAACUACGUG
rnacentral:rRNA from 1 species